AUUCGCCGCCCUCCGGCCGCGGCCGCUCUUUGUCUCCGACAACGAUGGAUCGGGAGAAGCUCAUGAAGAUGGCAGGUGCAGUUCGCACUGGUGGAAAGGGCAGUGUGCGCAGGAAGAAGAAGGCAGUUCACAAGACCACAACUACAGAUGACAAGAGGCUUCAGAGCACCCUGAAAAGGAUAGGGGUAAAUGCUAUCCCUGCUAUAGAAGAAGUAAACAUUUUCAAAGAUGAUGUUGUCAUCCAGUUCCAGAACCCCAAAGUUCAAGCGUCAAUUGCUGCCAAUACCUGGGUGAUUAGCGGCUCACCUCAGACAAAAAGACUUCAGGAUCUCCUGCCUACAAUCAUCAACCAAUUGGGUCCCGACAAUUUGGAUAACCUGAGAAGGCUUGCAGAGCAGUUCCAGAAGCAGGCUCCAGGCGGCGCUGCCGCUGCCGCUACCGCAGCUCCGAUUCAGGAGGACGAUGAUGACGAUGAUCAUAUCCCUGAUCUUGUGCCUGGAGAGACAUUUGAAGCUGCUGCGGCUGAAGAAAAGGUAGCUUCAUAGAGGUCAUUGUUUCUAAUGAAACUUCCAAAUCCAGGCAGUCUUGCAAGGUUCUGUCCUUCAAUAUUUUUCUCUUGCGUGUAAUAGUUCAUCUGAUAGAGUUGAAUUAUGAGGUUUCUGUUUCUCUGCUCUUUAUAUUUGACUCUUUUUUUUGUGGACAUG
rnacentral:misc_RNA from 1 species